ensembl:processed_transcript predicted gene, 17396
ACUGAGAGAGUCUCUCCAGGGAGCCGGGCACGCAGUCCAGAAGGUUGCAGUAUUUCCUCCAAGGGGGGCGGGGGGGAGAAGACGGAAAAGAAGAAGAAAAAGAAAAAGAAAGAAAGAGGCUGCUGCCACCCCUCCGCUAGCUAUCUGGAAUAGCACAGUGAGCAGCGUCUGCAGCCGAGCCCGGUGGAACCGAACCCCAGCUUGUCCAUGAAGUGCCUGGGUGGGGCAUGGCCCAGCCCUCCUUGCCCUGCUCAGACCAGGGCUCCCAAGCUCCCAAGCUCCCAAGCUGCUUCUCCCCUUCAAUCGCCAAGUUCCCAGAGUAUUGUAUACACACACACACAAAUUGAACAAAAACUCAUAAUUACUUGUCAGAGUCCCCCCCCCACCAGUAAUAAUAUUCUGACACGUUGAUCAGCUGCUACAUUAUAAUACAGAUUGUUUCAGAGAAGAUAUAUUUCCUUAAAGGGUUUCUCUGCAAGGCGGCGGUGAGGCUAAAAUUAGCUGUGCCAGCUGUGUUUUGCUGGGAGUGCUCACGCAUGCCCGGAGCGUGGGCAGCCAGCCUCUGUGCCUCUCCACUCCCCCAAGUCAGCCGAACACUCCAGCCGUCCUUUCAGAUAAAAGACUCCAGGUACAAAGGCAGUUUCCUCACAUGGAGGGAGAAUUGAAACUGCAAUACACAGGAUGCCACCUCUGCGUAAGUCCCGCCCCCCACACACUCUCUGGGUAACAGCCUAUGCUCCUGGGCUCCUUAGCUCCAGGAAGCUCAGUUCUGAAAUCUGUGUACCAGCAGAAAGACAAGGACACAGAGACAUCACAUUGGUUUUUAUGCUGACUCUCUCUCUCUCUCUCUCUCUCUCUCUCUCUCUCUCUCUCUGUGUGUGUGUGUGUGGGGGGUCUCAGAUAACCCCAAGCUGCUCUUAAACUUGCUGUGAAACAGAAUGACUUUGACUUCUGAACCUCCUGCUUUCCAUUCCCCAGCACUGGUAUGGAAGGCAGGAAUUAAUUAAUGGACCAGGUACCUGUGGGCACUGGCUGUGGGACCCAGGACCCUGUCCACAAUGGGCAAGCACUCUACCAACACAGCUAUCUCUUGACGACAAAAAUCAGAACUUGGGCUGGAAGGUAGGUAUGGGAAAACUGAGGGCAGUGUAAUGGAAGCAUAGCAAGACAGCUUCACCCAUGUUCUAAAGGGGAGACUCUGGACCUCAGUUAUCCCACCCAUAAAAUGGAGGACAGCAGCUGAAAUCUGGCACCCAUCUCAAAGUCUUCUGGCCACAUCUCUGUGCGCAGUGAAGUCUGGACUCUAGAGAACUUGUCAAGACUCUGGGAAUCUCCUGGGUCCUUUCUUUCUGCUCGGCAUCAGAUUGUAAAUUCUACUCUUCACACUUCAUGGUCCAGCUCUGAGUCCCACUGAGCAGAGGUCAUGUUGGUAACGUGAUCUCCAAGCUCACACCUGGCUUCCUCUGUCAGCAUGAACAUGCCCCCUUGAAGCAGCCUUCCCUAAACGCUCACUUCCCAAGGUGUAGUUGGUUUUCCGAGAGUUGGUUUCUCCCACGACCUUCUAAACUCAGAAUGGUGGGCCAUAUCCUCCUUCAUAGCCUUAAGAACUAGCAAGGCUCCAGACACAAAGCAUGUGUUCUGACAUGCUUAGAGAACAAAAUAUCCUGGAUAUAAUAAACAAUUGUCCCUC